rnacentral:rRNA from 1 species
GAUGAACGCUAGCGGGAGGCUUAACACAUGCAAGUCGAGGGGCAGCAUAGGGUAGCAAUACUCUGAUGGCGACCGGCAAACGGGUGAGUAACGCGUAUGCAACCUACCCUGUACAGGGGGAUAACCCGGAGAAAUUCGGACUAAUAUCCCGUAAUAAUAUCCGGAGGCAUCUUUGGAUAUUUAAAGUUCCGACGGUACGGGAUGGGCAUGCGUAACAUUAACUGGUUGGUAGGGUAACGGCUUACCAAGGCUAUGAUGUUUAGGGGUCCUGAGAGGGUGGUCCCCCACACUGGUACUGAGACACGGACCAGACUCCUACGGGAGGCAGCAGUGAGGAAUAUUGGUCAAUGGGCGCAAGCCUGAACCAGCCAUCCCGCGUGCAGGAAGACGGCCCUAUGGGUUGUAAACUGCUUUUCCAGGGAGAGAAACUUACGCACGUGUUGCGUGACUGACGGUACCCUGGGAAUAAGCAUCGGCUAACUCCGUG